CUCACUCACUCACUCACUUACUCACUCACUCACUCACUCAUUAUCUCUCUCGCUCUUUCGGAGAGCAGCAUCGUCGUUGCUGCUGUUGCUGCCGACCGCUCGUGUUCUCGUACGCGGCGCGUCGCCGGAGAUAGAUGAGGGAGUCUAUCUUCAGCACAGAACCAGUUACGGCUUGACGAGCUGUAUGUUUCACGUAAUGCCUUGCGAUCCUGUCGUCCUAUUAAUAAUAAACCGCGAACGGUGGUUUAUACGAUGUACGAGACUUCCCCGGAAAAGAGAAUAUGGUUGUCUCGAGAGAAAAUUCGAUAGGCAUCAACGGUCUUUCGCGAGCACGUGCCUGUUAACAUGUUUCACAUCUUUCUGUUCGGAGAGUUUGCGUAAAAUGAUUCAUAAGGUCUUUACGGAUUUUCGAAAAUUAAAUGUAAAAUCGAAGGCAAUUGCUUUUUAUGAAAAUUAUGUAUUCUCAUAUGUUUCUGUCGUAUCUGACACUUCCUCUGUUAAAAUUUAAAAUGUUUAAAUAAGUCAUGUUAAUUAUCUUACACGUUUAAUCCCAUUUGUUCGCGAGUUACUUUCUGGUCAAAUUUGGGAGAACCGUAAUCUCAUUUGAUUACCUGUCGAUUUCUUAAUUAAGUAAAGAUAAAGAAGUAGUAACAGGAGCGUCUAACUUUUGAAUAGGAAUAAUAACUAUAUUUGUGAAAAGAGAAAGAAAAAGAAGAAGGUGAUGAUGAAGUGGAGACGAGGAAAAAGAGAAAGACAAAGAAAAGAGGAACGAAGAUUGGAAAAUUGCGUUAUCGAAUCAUUCUUCCGUCGUACUCUUUUAAGAAACCUCUCUUAAGAAAGCAUCGUAUAACGAACAUUAUGCAAACAAGGUCGAGCUUGAGUUACAGUCCCAAUAAUCCUUCUGUUGCAUCUGUGAAGUCAUCUUCCUCAUAUAUAAGAAUCAGUCUCGAGAUACGAAACAGAUUCCUUGGAAUAUUCCGAGCUCGCUGUUCAUCGGCAAACAGCGUAAAGAUAAAUGGAAAUGUUUUAAAAAUAUGAUUUAUGUUGGGGAAACGUUGUCCCGAUCGAGGGAACUGCAAGUAAAAGCCGAGACUGUAACUCAACUCUAUUAACCAAAUCUUGUUCAACCCGGAAGAAAUUCUUUUAUGAGGAAAGCGUCACUCGAAGAGAAGCCAAAGAGAAAGGCCCUUUUUUGCUCACUGGCCUGAAACAUGUACUUUGUCCAGACCCGUAUUAUCGCAUACCUUCGUAAACGAGACGUAACGCCUGACGAUGGAGUAUAACGAUGCCCUAAUGAUGAUACUUCGUCGAGAAUGCCAAAUAGAAUUCGAGGGACGUACAGAAUAAAAGCUUUAGAGAAUGGUAACGAUUACAAUCGAUUAUAUCGUAUAAAUAUACGUGAUGAGGCUCCUCGUACUCGAGCGAAGUACCAGUCAAAAGUCCUAGAAUUGAGAUAUAAAAUUUCGAGAUUGCAAAUAUUACGUUUAAGUACACACGGCCCCGGGCCAGUGUGUUUGAGAAAUAAUUCUGUACGGUCCAAAAUUCAUUGGCUACACUGGGGUUAUUGACUUACAAGUACGUUCCCUGGCAAAUAAUUUCCUUCUUUUGUUCUCUCUUUACCCUCGGAGGAGAAGAUUUGUUGAUUUAUGCGAAUUAUAUAUACUCGAGAAAAUUCGCUUAAAAACAAAUGUUUUACAAUUUAAACCAUUAAACAUUAUACGUUAAUAUAUGGUUAUAUUUGGAAAAAUAAUUGAAUUUAUGUUGAAGUCUUUAUAAUUAAUGAAUAUAAAAGAAAUUAACAUUAUCAUAUUUUAUUUGAAAACAAACAAUUGUUGUACAUAAAGUAUCCUCAUAAUUUUAAAGGGAUAAGAAAUAUAAUAGACUUACAUCUUAUACAUAACAUUCUGUUGCGUUGAUAAUGCAAUAGAAUGUUACGUAUAAGAUGUAAGUAACAAUCUACGUACUAACAUCGUAUUAUACGUAACAUUAUGCUACAUUUAUAGAUACAAUAUACCUAGGCCACAUAUACUAUGACAUAUUCUCUGCACUCUCAUAAAACACAUCCAAAAGUAAGUACGCAUCGCCGUUCUUCGUAAGGUAGAAUAAAUAUAUCAGCCAUUACUAUCGAUAUUUACAGUAACCACAAUCGAGCGCCGUCGUCCAAGUAAUGAAAAUAACUUCUCGUAAUAAAUUCAUUCGUUAACAGGCGUAUGCAGGAAAUUCUCAAUUAGACGUUCUAUCGUUUCGUCAAAAGCAGUUCCAUAAUUAAAUUUUCUCGACGUUUCGGAAGCGGUAUUAAUGUCAACUUCAUAAAAGAUGGCGUUUUUCCUUCAGCAUUUAAUUUUGAGAAGCGAAGGAAAUCGAUAAACUGAAAACGUCCUAUUAUAUUUCAUAUUCCUUUUUGACAUUUGGUCAUAAUGAAUUUGACAUAUUCGUUAAGUAUAAUAUUCAUUUACUCGUAAUAGAUUGAACGUUGACAAAUUUCUCCUAAAAGGGAUCGUGUUAUUUUGUACUGAUAGACAAUGAAUCAAUCGUGCUUAUCAAUCAUUUUCUUGGUGAUUAUUCUAGAAAUUUUUGGUAAGUUAAAAGAUUCUUAUAUUAUUAUAUGUCAAAUAUUAAUAAUUAAUAAUCUUUGUAAUAGCAAAUAAAAUAUAAAAUAUUUUACUGAUUUUCGAAACUUAUCCUCCAAAAAUGCAUUAUUUUGUAAAAAAUUACGUCUUUUUCAAAUUCUUACGUACAACUUUAAAUUAAUAUUUGUUUCUUUUUUUUUUUUUGUAUUCAGAGCUUCUAUUGAAAUGUUAGAAUAUCACUCAUGUAUUUUUAAUUUUUGGAGGCCUCUCAUGUCAUUAGUUACUGUGAUUACAGUACAUACUAUUUUUAAAUGAAAAUUUAGAAAAAAUUAGUUUGAUAUAUGUACAUUAUUUUGCUAGUAAAGAUGUUAAAAAAAAGAAUUUUAUUUUGUGUCAAAAAAAGGUCUCGAAAAUAGUCUUUUUGAUUAGCUGUCAGAUUGGUUUUAAGUAAUAAACUCUUGGCUCUUAUUACGUUUCGAGCACCGUUUAAGCGCAAAUAUGAACAAUAGUAUAUGUGUUUAAUCACAAUGAAAAAACCAACAUAUACAAUUUGUAGUAUUUUAUGGAGCAGCUCAUGGUGACAAGCUAAUAACGACGUUAUCACGAAAAAGAGAUAGCUUGGACAUUAUAGUUGUUAACAAAUUUAAGGCACGAACUUGCCCAAUUCAUUAUGCUCUUGCGAGUGUGUAAAUUGGUGAUUCCUUUGACUAUUAUCUAUCAGCGAUGAACGCUCUAGGAAGUCUUAUUAAAUUAUCUAUUCCCUAUUAUCACGAAUAGAAACUAAUGAUGGUCGAUCUAAUUCUAACGACUUCUGAUAGUCAUAGAUCACUGUGUACUGAUCUAAUAGAAACUGGAGUAAAUGAACAAUUAACAAUCACGAUCUACCUUCUGUUUAUUCUCCAUUCGUACUAUCGAUAUAUCCGUGUCAAGAUUUAAUUUUCUAAAGCGAGAACGUUGAAAGGUAUUCUUGAAAUUCUUAGAUGUGUAUCAUGUUACAAAAGGGGUUGAAGAGAAGAGUUCGGUCAUGCCACGUAACUGCCGCGUAACUGCCGCAUAUUAAUACGAUAGCAGAGCGAGCGAGGGCAGGUUGAAAUUGCAUGUUAUAGGUAAUUGGUAAUUUCUGUAACGCGAUCCGGCUACCAUCUGUCCGCGAGAAGAAGCAACAAAAGUAGCUGCGGGCUGUUUGGUGCUGCCGCUGCG